rnacentral:rRNA from 1 species
GAUGAACGCUGGCGGCGUGCUUAAGACAUGCAAGUCGAACGCAACUCUGGCAGCAAUGUUGGGGUUGAGUGGCGAAUGGGUGCGUAACACGUAGGUGACCUGCCCGGAAGUGGGGAAUAACAGUCCGAAAGGACUGCUAAUACCGCAUGCGACCGCGGGGACGGAAGUUCCCGCGCUCAAAGGUCAAGCGUAAGCGCGAUCGCUUCCGGAGGGGCCUGCGGCCCAUCAGCUCGUUGGUUGGGUAACGGCCAACCAAGGCGACGACGGGUAGGGGACCUCAGAGGGUGGCCCCCACACUGGCACUGACACACGGGCCAGACUCCUACGGGAGCAGCAGUCGGGAAUAUUGCCCAAUGCGCGACAGCGUGAGGCAGCAACGCCGCGUGCGCGAUG